UGUGGCUCUAAACGAGAUGUUGUUUGUGGUCCAUUUCACUUUUCAAUAUUACUAGUGUUUGAUUCAUCAAAUUAAUCCAUCCAAGCCUCCAAAUGCCAUUUAUUACUGCGUUUGUGGCCCCAACCAACCGCAUAGUCGAAGCUGUUUGGUUUGGGGGAAGGCGACUCAGGAGCGUGCAGGGCUGCUGCGUCGAUGAAAGUGUGACUGAUGGUGCUCACGGUGAUCCCGUACUCCUCCACCUCGGCCCGGAGGCAGUCGAAGAAGGCCUGGGCUGCAUGUUUGGAGGCUGCAUCUGAUCGAGGUUAUCAGGUGACCACGGAUCAGCCUCCACAGAGGAGGACGCGCCAGCUGUUCCAAGUCGGGACCCAGGAUGGACCACUCCUCUUUGCAUCAGUUGGUGACGUGUUUGCGCUUGUCUCCAUUCAAGAUGAUCCCCUGCUGGUCUACCAAUGGACUGGACUUGCACAUGAAGUCGGGACCCAGGGUGGACCACUCCUUAUGCAUCAGUCCGUGACGUCUCUGUGUCUACUUGCAAGAGGAUCCACUGCUCGCCCCACUAUGGACUGGACUCUCACAUCAUUAACCGUAUCCACUCAACAUCCAUUGCACCGGUCAUCCAGAUGGGGAUCCUCACUUCUGAGGUCCCUUCCAAGGUCUCUCGUUGUUCCCAUUGGGUUGAGUUUUUUCUUGCCCUGAUGGGGGAUCUGAGCCGAGGAUGUCGUUGUGGCUUGUGCAGCCCUUUGAGACAUUUGUGAUUAAGGGCUAUAUAACUAAACUUUGAUUGAUUCAUUGAUUCAUUUGAUUUGAUAUAUUUCAUUUCAAAUAUGCAAAAAAACAAGAGCAAGUCUGAUCCAAUACAGGGCUAUAGCCUUAACAGCCAUUAUAACA